UUCCGGGGCACACUCUUAACCCCAUCUGCAGCUCGCGGGCUGAUGUCCGGGCUUUUCCUGCAGCUUCUGCGUUUGAUCCCUUCCACUGUAAAGUUUUCAGUUUAUACUAUUAUGAAUUCCACUGGGAAUUCAUAAUUUUUUAAAUGCAAUUCAUACUUCUUUAAAACUUAAGAUUCUGUGCCUGAUAAGAAGCCUGAGGCAAAAACUGCUUCUCUCUACGUGCUUCUAAACAGAUUGCAGUCACUUACUUCUUCACAGUGACCUUUGCAGGUUUCUUCGUCCUCCUUGAGGCAGCCUGUUGGUGGAACUGGGCAAAGAGCUUUGGAGAAAAGCUAAGAACGUUCCUGUCUCACUUAGGACUGGAUCCCCAAAAGUGACAGUUAUUUCUUUUGGCUUCUCACUUCUUAAAAGUCCCCACAGGGAAAUACUGUAUUGAAUAUUUUAUUAAAAUAUUUUCUUUGUA